rnacentral:tRNA from 1 species
GCCCAGAUAGCUCAAUUGGUUAGAGCAUAGUGCUGUAAAUGCCAAGGUUGCAAGUUUGAUCCCCUUAUGGGGCA